rnacentral:piRNA from 1 species
UUGUUGUCAAAUUGAUCUGGCUAGGAU